rnacentral:rRNA from 1 species
CCUACGGGAGGCAGCAGUGGGGAAUUUUGGACAAUGGGCGCAAGCCUGAUCCAGCAAUGCCGCGUGAGUGAAGAAGGCCUUCGGGUUGUAAAGCUCUUUUGUCAGGGAAGAAACGGUGAAGGCUAAUAUCCUUUGCUAAUGACGGUACCUGAAGAAUAAGCACCGGCUAACUACGUGCCAGCAGCCGCGGUAAUACGUAGGGUGCAAGCGUUAAUCGGAAUUACUGGGCGUAAAGCGUGCGCAGGCGGUUUUGUAAGUUUGUCGUGAAAUCCCCGGGCUCAACCUGGGAAUGGCGAUGAAGACUGCAAGGCUAGAAUCUGGCAGAGGGGGGUUAGAAUUCCACGUGUAGCAGUGAAAUGCGUAGAGAUGUGGAGGAACACCGAUGGCGAAGGCAGCCCCCUGGGUCAAGAUUGACGCUCAUGCACGAAAGCGUGGGGAGCAAACAGGAUUAGAUACCCUGGUAGUCCACGCCCUAAACGAUGUCUACUAGUUGUCGGGUUUUAAUUAACUUGGUAACGCAGCUAACGCGUGAAGUAGCCGCCUGGGGAGUACGGUGCAAGNUUAAAACNCAAAUGAAUUGACCGGNUGAGAGNGCGAGACGACGACGAGGGAGGAGG